CAAACUGCGAAUACCGGAGAAUGUUAUCACGGGAGACACACGGCGGGUGCUAACGUCCGUCGUGAAGAGGGAAACAACCCAGACCGCCAGCUAAGGUCCCAAAGUCAUGGUUAAGUGGGAAACGAUGUGGGAAGGCCCAGACAGCCAGGAUGUUGGCUUAGAAGCAGCCAUCAUUUAAAGAAAGCGUAAUAGCUCACUGGUCGAGUCGGCCUGCGCGGAAGAUGUAACGGGGCUAAACCAUGCACCGAAGCUGCGGCAGCGACGCUUAUGCGUUGUUGGGUAGGGGAGCGUUCUGUAAGCCUGCGAAGGUGUGCUGUGAGGCAUGCUGGAGGUAUCAGAAGUGCGAAUGCUGACAUAAGUAACGAUAAAGCGGGUGAAAAGCCCGCUCGCCGGAAGACCAAGGGUUCCUGUCCAACGUUAAUCGGGGCAGGGUGAGUCGACCCCUAAGGCGAGGCCGAAAGGCGUAGUCGAUGGGAAACAGGUUAAUAUUCCUGUACUUGGUGUUACUGCGAAGGGGGGACGGAGAAGGCUAUGUUGGCCGGGCGACGGUUGUCCCGGUUUAAGCGUGUAGGCUGGUUUUCCAGGCAAAUCCGGAAAAUCAAGGCUGAGGCGUGAUGACGAGGCACUACGGUGCUGAAGCAACAAAUGCCCUGCUUCCAGGAAAAGCCUCUAAGCAUCAGGUAACAUCAAAUCGUACCCCAAACCGACACAGGUGGUCAGGUAGAGAAUACCAAGGCGCUUGAGAGAACUCGGGUGAAGGAACUAGGCAAAAUGGUGCCGUAACUUCGGGAGAAGGCACGC
rnacentral:rRNA from 1 species